ACUUGAUAAAAGAAUUUUAGUUCUACCUAAAGCCCGAAUAAGUUUUAUAAACUAACACUUUUGCUUUAGAGUUAUUCAAAUAAGGUACAGCCUAUUUGAAUAAGGAAACAACCUAAACUAAUGGGUAAAUAUUUACAGUGUACCAAAGUGGGCCUAAAAGCAGCCACCUUUAACAAUAGCGUCAAAGCUUCUCUACACAAGUACAUUCAAUUCCACACCCCAACCAAAACCCUUUAUUGUCAUCAAGUAAUUCUAUAUACCUAUAGAACAUAAAAUGUUAAAACUAGUAACAAGAAGCAAACCCUUCUCUUAAAUGUAAGUGUAAGCCAGAAAGGAUAAACCACUGUCAAUUAACACCAAUGAUUUUUAAUUAGUAACAUCACAAGAAAACCCUAAUAAAACAAAUGUUAAACUAACACAAGAGCAUUUCAAGAAAGAUUAAAAGAAAAAGAAGGAACUCGGCAAACACUAACCCCGCCUGUUUACCAAAAACAUCGCCUCUUGACAAAUAUAAGAGGUCCAGCCUGCCCAGUGACCUAGUUCAACGGCCGCGGUAUCCUAACCGUGCGAAGGUAGCGUAAUCACUUGUUCUUUAAAUGAGGACUAGUAUGAAUGGCACCACGAGGGUUACACUGUCUCCUUUUUUUAAUCAGUGAAACUAAUUUCCCCGUGAAGAAGCGGGGAUUUUUCUAUAAGACGAGAAGACCCUAUGGAGCUUUAAACAAACUAACACUUGCUGCCCAAAAUAGUUUUCUCAGGAAACAUGACAUACAGCUUAGCAAGAUGAUUAAUAGUUUUCGAUUGGGGUGAUCACGGAGUAAAAAAUAACCUCCAUGCCGAAAGGACCCUUCCCUGAGCAAAAAGCCACAACUUUAAGCACUAAAAAAAUUAACGUUUAUUGACCCAAUAUUUUGAUCAACGAACCAAGUUACCCUAGGGAUAACAGCGCAAUCCACUUCAAGAGCUCCUAUCGACAAGUGGGUUUACGACCUCGAUGUUGGAUCAGGGUAUCCCAGUGGUGCAGCCGCUACUAACGGUUCGUUUGUUCAACGAUUAAAACCCU
rnacentral:rRNA from 1 species